rnacentral:rRNA from 1 species
UACAUGUGGGGCAAGCGUUGUUCGGAAUUACUGGGCAUAAAGGGUGCGUAGGCGGAUUUGUAAGUCAGGGGUGAAAUCCCGGGGCUCAACCUCGGAACUGCCUUUGAUACAGCAAGUCUUGAGUUCGAGAGAGGUGGGUGGAAUUCCUAGUGUAGAGGUGAAAUUCGUAGAUAUUAGGAAGAACACCGGUGGCGAAGGCGGCCCACUGGCUCGACACUGACGCUGAGGUGCGAAAGCGUGGGGAGCAAACAGG